CGCCGCCCUGCGACGUACCCUUUCCACGGCCGGCGCCAGUUCUCCUUAAGGAGGGAACCAUCCAAGGUCCAAAAGGCUCCCGCAAUAGAAAAUCUGCCAAAUCGGGGCUUUCCACCACCCUCUCCCUUGCCUUAUCCUUGCCUAUGGAUGACCUUUGUGCCACUAGCGAUGCUCCCUGAGAAUUGAUAUUUGGGGAAGCCAGCUGCCAUGUCAGAAGUACACUCAAGCCAUCUGUGGAGGCCCAUAUGAUGAGAAACUGAGGCCUCCAGCCAACAGCCCCAGGGGAGUUGGAGCCUUCUGCCAACAAAAUCCUGAGCGAGCCAGGAAGGAGAUUCUACUGUCUGGUCAAGCCUUGAAAAGAGACUCCGGCUCUGGCUGACACCUUGCCUACAACCUUGUAAGAGACCCUGAGCCUCUCACUGUGGUCAUCAGAGAGCCCCUAAUUCCCAAACCAAUUACCAUCUUUCAGUCUUUUCCCUGACUUGGCUUCUUGGUUCUGGGACAACGUUGAAUAAAUAGGUAUAUAACUGUAUGUACAUGCACAGAAUGGAAUUUUGUAAGAAAGGUUAACUUUUGUCUUAAGAAGUUCUGCUGAGAAAUGGAAAUAGAUUUUCAAAGCCACAACCACUAGGAAACAUUUCUUUCCCCAAAACACUGCAAUAUGAAGAAUAGAGCAUACUAGAGGGUACAUUAAAUAAUUUUUAUUCUCUCACUUGUGAUAAAUACAAGACACUUCCAAGAAAAUAAAACACAUAUAUUCUAAUUUUUACAUAGAAUUUUUUUUCUUGCUAUGGAGUAUAUAAAAAUAUGUAUAAAUUUAUCCAUCAAAUAUCAAGGAAAAUUUUUGAGUUUGCAUUAGGGCUUAUCAAACAAUUUUUAUUUUCCCCCUGUUCAGAAAAAGACUAAGUAGAAAACGAGUCUGAUUUGGGAUUUUAAAAUUAGCAUUUGGGUUGAACAAAGCUCCAGAGAAACCUUCACAAAAUUUCCAAUUAAAACACUAUACAUAUAAAAUGCUCUCCCAAAAAAUGAUGUAAGGCAGGUUAACAGGAUUUUGGAAACAAUGUACAAUGUUAUAAUUGAUAGGCCCUUAAUUAUUGAUGGCAUAUGCCUGCCGGGAUUUUGUAUAAUCCUCACAGAUGGGAUUAAAUUCAUUUGUAAAAUGAACCUUUUCUUGUAAAAGAAAAUAAAAACUGUCAUUUUCUGCAGCUCUCACCUCAUAAGAAAAGUGUUGAGCUACAGAAAAAAGGCUAAUACUUUAAAAAAAAUAAUAGCUCCUAUAAAUUCUAU